CGGAGGGUGCAAGCGUUAUCCGGAUUCACUGGGUUUAAAGGGUGCGUAGGUGGGCAGGUAAGUCAGUGGUGAAAUCUCCGAGCUUAACUUGGAAACUGCCGUUGAUACUAUCUGUCUUGAAUAUUGUGGAGGUGAGCGGAAUAUGUCAUGUAGCGGUGAAAUGCUUAGAUAUGACAUAGAACACCAAUUGCGAAGGCAGCUCGCUACACAAAUAUUGACUCUGAGGCACGAAAGCGUGGGGAUCAAACAGGAUUAGAUACCCUGGUAGUCCACGCCCUAAACGAUGGAUACUCGACAUACGCGAUACACAGUGUGUGUCUGAGCGAAAGCAUUAAGUAUCCCACCUGGGAAGUACGACCGCAAGGUUG
rnacentral:rRNA from 1 species